rnacentral:rRNA from 1 species
CUUACGUUUCCUCGGCGGGUCCCCUGCCGACGGGACAAUUUAAACCACUUGCAGUUGCAAUCAGCGUCUGAAAAAACUUAAUAGUUACAACUUUCAACAACGGAUCUCUUGGUUCUGGCAUCGAUGAAGAACGCAGCGAAAUGCGAUAAGUAGUGUGAAUUGCAGAAUUCAGUGAAUCAUCGAAUCUUUGAACGCACAUUGCGCCCCUUGGUAUUCCAUGGGGCAUGCCUGUUCGAGCGUCAUUUGUACCUUCAAGCCUUGCUUGGUGUUGGGUGUUUGUCUCGCCUCUGCGCGUAGACUCGCCUCAAAACAAUUGGCAGCCGGCGUAUUGAUUUCGGAGCGCAGUACAUCUCGCGCUUUGCACUCAGAACGACGACGUCCAAAAGUACAUUUUUACACUCUUGACCUCGGAUCAGGUAGGGAUACCCGCUGAACUUAAGCAUAUCAAUAAGCUGAGGAAAAGAAACCAACAGGGAUUGCCCUAUUAACGGCCAGUGAAGCGGCUACAGCCCA